rnacentral:rRNA from 1 species
CAGUCGCCGCGGUAAUACAGAGGGUGCAAGCGUUAAUCGGAAUUACUGGGCGUAAAGCGCGCGUAGGUGGUUUGUUAAGUUGGAUGUGAAAUCCCCGGGCUCAACCUGGGAACUGCAUCCAAAACUGGCAGGCUAGAGUAGGGCAGAGGGUGGUGGAAUUUCCUGUGUAGCGGUGAAAUGCGUAGAUAUAGGAAGGAACACCAGUGGCGAAGGCGACCACCUGGGCUCAUACUGACACUGAGGUGCGAAAGCGUGGGGAGCAAACAGGAUUAGAUACCCCCGUAGUCCCUGUCUCUUAUAC